UACGGGGGGAGCAAGCGUUGCUCGGAUUUACUGGGCGUAAAGGGCGCGUAGGCGGCCUGUGCAAGUCCGUUGUGAAAUCUCCGGGCUUAACUCGGAACGGUCAACUGAUACUGCUCGGCUAGAGUGCGGAAGGGGCAACUGGAAUUCUUGGUGUAGCGGUGAAAUGCGUAGAUAUCAAGAGGAACACCUGCGGCGAAGGCGGGUUGCUGGGCCGACACUGACGCUGAUGCGCGAAAGCUAGGGGAGCGAACGGG
rnacentral:rRNA from 1 species